rnacentral:rRNA from 1 species
AUCCUGGCUCAAUAGAACGCUGGCGGCAGGCCUAACACAUGCAAGUCGAGCGCGAAAGUCUUCGGAUGAGUAGAGCGGCGGACGGGUGAGUAACGCGUGGGAAUCUACCUGGUAGUGGGGGAUAACUCGGGGAAACUCGAGCUAAUACCGCAUACGUCCUGAGGGAGAAAGCGGGGGAUCGCAAGACCUCGUGCUAUCAGAUGAGCCUGCGUAGGAUUAGCUAGUUGGUAGGGUAAAGGCCUACCAAGGCGACGAUCCUUAGCUGGUCUGAGAGGAUGAUCAGCCACACUGGGACUGAGACACGGCCCAGACUCCUACGGGAGGCAGCAGUGGGGAAUAUUGGACAAUGGGGGCAACCCUGAUCCAGCCAUGCCGCGUGUGUGAAGAAGGCCUUCGGGUUGUAAAGCACUUUCAGCGGGGAGGAAGGCAUCGUGACUAAUAUUCACGGUGAUUGACGUUACCCGCAGAAGAAGCACCGGCUAACUCCGUGCCAGCAGCCGCGGUAAUACGGAGGGUGCGAGCGUUUAUCGGAAUUACUGGGCGUAAAGCGCGCGUAGGCGGCUUGUUAAGUCGGAUGUGAAAUCCCCGGGCUCAACCUGGGAAUUGCAUCCGAUACUGGCGAGCUUGAGUGCGAUAGAGGGGGGUAGAAUUCCUAGUGUAGCGGUGAAAUGCGUAGAUAUUAGAGGAAUACCGGUGGCGAAGCGGCCCCCUGGAUCGACACUGACGCUGAGUGCGAAAGCGUGGUAGCAAC